rnacentral:rRNA from 1 species
CCUACGGGAGGCAGCAGUGAGGAAUAUUGGUCAAUGGGCGCGAGCCUGAACCAGCCAAGUAGCGUGAAGGAUGACUGCCCUACGGGUUGUAAACUUCUUUUAUAAAGGAAUAAAGUGAGGAACGUGUGCCUUUUUGUAUGUACCUUAUGAAUAAGGAUCGGCUAACUCCGUGCCAGCAGCCGCGGUAAUACGGAGGAUGCGAGCGUUAUCCGGAUUUAUUGGGUUUAAAGGGAGCGUAGAUGGGUUGUUAAGUCAGUGGGGAAAGUUUGUGGCUCAACCAUAAAAUUGCAGUUGAUACUGGUAGUCUUGAGUACAUUUGAGGUAGGCGGAAUUCGUGGUGUAGCGGUGAAAUGCAUAGAUAUCACGAAGAACUCCGAUUGCGAAGGCAGCUUACUAAACUGCCACUGACACUGAUGCUCGAAAGUGUGGGGAUCAAACAGGAUUAGAUACCCCAGUAGUC